GUGUGUACAUUGGUGUCUCUGUGUGUGAAUGAGAAAGAGAAAGAAAGAGAGAUUUGUUUUGGUCUUACAAAGCUUUAAAUAAAAAGCCUCCUUGCAUUCCUUCUCUGGCAGGGAAUUUCUCAAAAGGGAAUUACUUUUCUGCCCUGUCCUUGUCUCCUGUGGCCUGUGGUCAGCAUCUCUAUCAGUGACAUGGUUCAAUACUGGCUUUAGAUUUGACUCAAAUGACCUUUGGCAUGGACAGUCCAGAAAGGAAUUUACUCAAAUAUCAGAGAGAGGCAGCUAUUUAUCUGUCCGGGCUGCACGUAGGAAGUCCUCCAGGACACAUUCCUGCACUUGGCACUUGCUGAGAGGAGCCAACAAGGACUGAAGAGGCUGCUGGGAGCUCCCCAGUGUCCUGGCCAGUGAGGCAACAGGUGCACCUGGUGCUGUGGUGACCUCCCCAGGGGACAUUUGCCCUGCCACUGCUGUGUCUCCAAGGUUACAGGCUGCUUUUCCUUCCCACAAGGCAGUGCGGCAGUGCUCUGGCUCCAACACAAGGCUGUGGAGGACAGAGGGAGAAGAGAGGAGAGUCGGAUAGGACAGGCCAUAGAGAGAAUCCCUCUGCAGGGUUGCAUGGCGACCACCAUCUCACAGCACUCAGGGAUCUCCCAGAAAUGCCAUCCAUCAUGUCGGGAGGCACGCCCAUAGUAAGGUGUUUUCGGACCCCUGGGCUCUCUGGGUAGCAACAGCUCUGCCUGCCAUCCUGGACCACACCACCUUCUUCAGUCUUCUUCCCCUUCCCACACACUGGGACUCAGCCAUGGAGGUGACUCAGCCUUGACUGAUCAUGGAGGAACCACAAGAUGGAAGAACUAUGGCUCCUUCUGUAAGGAGGGGAGAUGAAGGACAGCUACACAGAGAGGGAAGAUCGGCCACAGGAAAACUGCAGGGAAGAAUGGCUACCUGCCUGCCACGGAAGGAGGCCUGGAGCAGAUCUUCACCUCAGAGCUCUCAGAGGGAUUCUAUCUACAUUCUGAUCUCUGACUCCUGGCCUUCAACCCCGAAGGAAAAUGUUAUUCUGUUAUAAGUGACACAGCUUAUCGUACAGCAUAACAGCCCUAGAAAGCUAGUGGAGGAGCAUCAGGGCUCAGCAGACCCAGUGUCCCACUUUGUCAUAGAGUUGUCUUAAGAAUGAAAUGGUCUAAGAGAAACAACAAACUUCAGAAAUAAGCCUGUGAUGAAGAGGAAAGAGACUGGUGCUUGUUUCCGAAGAACUCGGUGUAUAAGAGCCACCGGUAAAGGAAGGCUCCAAGACUCUAAAGACAGGCAGACAAGCCCGAGGCUGCACAGAAUGCAUGCAGCAGAGACUUACGGAUGGAAGUGUAUCUUGAGCAGCAGCAAAACAGCAGGGUCCUCAUAGCUCAAGAAGGAAGAAGGGAUUGACAUGCUAAGCCAGACAGAGGUGGACUGUGACCAAUUGGAAUGUGCCACGCCUUUCCCGGGUCUGUAUGUAGCAUGAAAAUACUUGGCUCUGUCAAUGACUGUGUUGAUCCCACAGAGUUUGGAAUAUGUGCCAGCGUCACCUGAUACCCCAAAUGGUAGUCAUGGCUGGCAAGAUGAGUCAGUGGGUGAAGGCACUUGCACCACACCUGACAGGCUGAGCUCAAUCUCCAGGACUCACAUGGUAGAAAGAAAGAAGCGACUCCCUAAAGUUGACCUCUCAACUGUACAUGGGUGCCAUGCACGUGCAUGUGCAUGCAUACACACUCAUCACCACAUAAAUAAAUUAGAAAUGUAAUUUUGAAAUGGUAACCAUAACCAAGAUGUGUAUGGUUGGCUCAAGCUAGGUGCAUACUGUGCUCACAGAGUGCUCUUUGAUGCCAUACUCAAAGUUCCUGCAUUUAAAAUGGCUUCUCUUCAGGUGUGCCCGAAUCCCUUUCCACAGCUUGUUCCUUCUCUCCACAGCAUUGAUCGUCUUCUAAUGGUCUCUGCUGUUGGUUAUUUGUCUCUUUCCACUAGGAGGGAAGAAGCUCAGUGAGGUCAAGGCUUGGGGUUUUUCAUAGCUGUCUCCUCAGCACUUGCCAGCCCAGGAGGGUCCUCACUGGCUGGUCCGUGCUGAGUCCACAUUUCAUUUCUUCUUUCUUCCUUCUCACUUCUUCAGGCCACACUUACCGAUCCUCUGGAACCUAGACCUGCAUAUAAACAUACAGAGAGAUAGGAUUGUGGCAUGGUGUAUAACGUGUACUCUGAGAGCUAGUAGUUAAGAGUGGGAUGAAAGAACCUGUAUUUGCCAAUGGCCAGCUAUCAUUUGGUAAACUGCAGCCAAUGAGACAAUGGAGGUGAAGUUCUUUCUUAUUCUGAGAACAAAUAGAAAGAAACAAAUGUGUCACAAUUUCUCCUCCCAAGAAUGUGCUUCCUUCACAUCCAAUAUAAACGUGGGACAUCUUCUCAUCUUUACCAUGCGAAACACCCACAGGAUACACAAGGAACACAAGGGUGUGUGCAGUCUAGGGAACUAACUUGCACACUGUUUCCUGGAGAUAUAUACAUCUUCUCCCAAAGGACCCCUCCCAGGCCUCUCUGCCCUAGUUUAGACCCCCUCUUCCAUUCUUUCACAAGAACAUUUCCAUCACUCUACUGAGCACACUGCAUUUCCAUAGUGCUUGUUUUCUCUCUGGCUUUCUCUCUUGUUUUCUUUCUUAUCUCCCCUUCCUCCCUCCCUACCUCCCUUCCUUCUUUCCUCCCUCUCUUUCUUCUUUUUCUUUGUGGUAUUGGAGACUAAACCCAGGGCCUCACAAAUGCUAGACAAGUGAUCUACACCUCCAGCCCCUGUUUUUCUUCACUAUAACAAAAUACCUGAGGCUGGGUAAUUCUAUAAAGAAAAAGAUGCCUGUUUAUCUCAGAGUACUGGAGACUCAAGAGCAUGGUGCCCACAUCAGCUCAGCUCUGUAAGGUCCUCAGCAGGAAUGCAUCACAACAGUGAGUGGGUGGUGGAAGAAACAGAUCAUAGGAUAAGGCAUGAAGCCAGAGAAUGUUCCAGGGUCAAGUUUGGACUUUCCUAAGAACUCUCUCUGGCAAGAAAGCUACUAACUAAAUGGACUCCACAAGAAACAGCAAUCCCUUCAGGAAGCAUACCCCCAAUGACUUCAGGACUAGGCUCCACCUCUUGAAGGUCUCACAACUUCUUACACUAUUACAUGGGUACCAAGCUUUAAACAUACACUCCUUUGAUGGACAAACCACAGCAACCAGUAACUAGGGAGCAAGUGAAGGGCAUGGAUCAAACGUGGCUCACUGUGUGGUACCGACCUUAUUAUGUAGGUCCAGCCCAAGAGCUGAAAUAGCCAACAAUGAGUAUGUUAAAGGAAGGCUUACUGCAGGUCCUUGGAACAGAACAGUGGACCAACUUGAUGUGAUAUCAAUAAAUCAGAGCAGAGAUGUGCAAAGCCUCUUUAUAGAUGAAAAUGAAGGUCUCCUGGACAUGCAAAGUGGGAUUGUCACCUGAUGCAUAUGUGAACACCUAGGACUGUGAUGUGGUAUGGCAACUGUCAAUUCAAAACCUUGGUAGGAAAUGGGGGACUAAGACCCUCAGAAUGCAAAGUGGCUGGACUUGGGGCACAGGUAUCAGACCUUCCUGGGAACAGGCUGAUGGCAAUGAAACCCCAAAGGUGGGGGAAAGGUCCACUGGGUAAUGGAAGUGCUAUGAGGCAGGUAAUAUGGAUGUGGAGUUCAAAUACAAUAGAUGGAGUCAGCCUGAGCCUUUCUCUGCCCCCUGAGGCAUGAUGGUGUUUACGUUUUAAAGAGAAAAAAAGUACAGGAGAGACAAAGCUGUGGAUGUCUCUCUUCUGAGGGAAGAAGUAAGGCUCUCUACUUGAUGCUUCCCAUGUGGAAAGAAUGAGGACAGGCUCUGCUUGCUGGCCGGAGCAACAAGCCUGUGGUUUCACAAUCCUGGGUGGGUGAGGGGCAACAUCCUGCCUGUUCAUUCACUCAUUCAUUGAGACAUUUCUAAGCCAAACACUAGAUCCUGAAGAUACAAAAGUAAAUGUUCACAGUCAAUCCAACUAAAACCGUCACAUCCUGGAUCUGUGUAACCCAUAAUGCAGUUGGAAAAGGUGCUCUCUGGCAGCCUCCCUGGGCAGGAAGUGGUUAGGGAAGACACCUCGCACAGCCAUGGCAAAGCUGGCCAAGCCGAACUGAAGACAAGGAAGAGAGUAGAACUCCCUUGGGACAGUCUGGAACUACAAUAACAGGGUUCUUGCUGGGAAUGUUGACAAAGACUAUUAGAGCAGAAAAAUGGCCCCAAUUAGGCUACAGGUACAGCCAUAGUUGCUGUGGAUAUCACUCUAUGUAAAUAAAACACUGAUGGCCAGUGACCAGGCAGGAAGU